rnacentral:lncRNA from 1 species
CGGAACAUACUUCUUGGGGCUUCGUUGUCUUUUUGGAGAUGUGAAAGCUUGGCGUUUUAGGUCUGCGAUGUGUGUGUGUGGUCCACAUUGCAGGAACACAGCCAACUAGUCCAGAUAAGGCCAAAACUGAACCGACGACGACGCGGAACAACUUCGGGAGAACACAUAGACGGGUAUGCACAGCACAGAGGCAACUGUGGGGCGGCACCGCCACCGCCACCGCCACCGCCACCGUGUGUGUGUAUGUGUGUAUGUGUGUGUGUAUGUGUGUGUGUGUGUAUGUGUGUGUGCGUGUGUGUGUGUAUAUGUGUGUGUGUGUGCGUGUGUGUGUGUGCGUGUGCGUGUGUGUGUGUGUUGGGGGCCAGGAAGGCGGCCUCUGGUAUUUGGUUGUCGGAUUACUUCCAUUCUGCUCUCGCCUCUCGCCUCUUGCCUCCCGAACCGAUGGAACGGAGUUGGGAGUCGGAGUCAGGCGUGGAGUUAGGGUUGGAUGGGAAUGGGUUGGUGGUGGUUUGCUGUUCGAGGUGGGCGUGAGCUCGCCUUUGAGAGGGCUUUGGUAGGGCUCAAUUCUUGUGCGCCUUGUGUACUUUUGGCGGACAAGGUAUUAUUGCUACGGUGGGACAUAUUACCGCUGAUGGUUGUUGUUUAUGUGUGUGUGUGCUGGAACGCUGAGGAGGGACUAUGCUGGGACGAGCGAAUCG